AAUGAAUUGAGAAGCGAAGAACUAUAUCCUAUAUGUGGGCAUCUUGGAUAUAUGGAGUUAUUGAUGCAACCAGCUACACUUAAA
rnacentral:ncRNA from 2 species